rnacentral:rRNA from 1 species
UGGUGGAGUGAUUUGUCUGCUUAAUUGCGAUAACGAACGAGACCUCGACCUACUAACUAGUCAGGCUCAGUCUUCGGAUUGGGUUUCUGGCUUCUUAGAGGGACUGUUGCUGUUUAAGGCAACGGAAGUUCGAGGCAAUAACA